UAGGAAAACCGAGGAACAAUGCAGGUUCGAGGUGCACAGUGGCUAAGCACACUCAGUCCUCAAGAUCUUUCCUCUCAAAUGCUAAUGCUACCUUCAGAUGGGCUGCUGCCUGCUACCAUUUCAACAUUGAGUCCUUUAAGAUGCCAUCAGAGAGAGGGGAAGCAAGAGGCCAAGAAAAAUGAAAGGAGUUAAGAGUAAACCAUACUCCGGGCAACCAUCACCCCAAAAGGGAGACAACCAGACCUUCUGUGCCUCCCAAUGAAAGUCCACAUUCAACACCACCUACGAAGGAUUCUUACCAAAGACACCAAAACUGAACUCAGGCAACCCUCCAGAUAUAACUACCAAUUUGCAGAAAAUAAAAGGGAUAGAAGAACACAAAGAUGCAAUCAGCAAAAUUCAGACAGGACAAGCAAUAUUUUUUUCAAGAAGAAGAAGAAAAUUGAGGGAGUCUGGAAGAGAUGUAGAGUAAACUGGUAGAGUGAGACACUUAAGGGAUGCAUGAGUUCAGAACAAAGUGUAGACCUCGUUGGGAUCCCAGUUCAGGCAAGCAAAUCUUAAAAUGUUCAUGAGACUGUUGGAGGAAGGCAAACACAGAUAGCAUAGGUGUUGACAUUAAAGAAAUCUUAAUUUGGACAGCCAUCAUAGCUACAAAACAGAUGGAUGCGGUAACACAGAACACCAAAAACCUCCGCUUAAGACUCGGCUGGGAAAUUGAGUUGCCUUUUUUAAUGGAAAAGGAAAAGAAUCACCCAUAAGGAUAACCUUGAAUUUAGAAAGAGCGGGUGGGUGGGGUGAUCAGCUGGGCCUCUUCUGUGCAUGGUAGAGCACAUUUCAGAAUUGUGUGUGUAUCAGUGGUCACUGUAAUUUAAGAAAAAAGAACAAGAAUUCAGAAAAUUAUAUCCUAUCCGAAAAAAAGGACUGUACAAGAAGCAUAGUGUCAGGAACUGCUUCUGGAGAGGCCUCAGGAAGCCUUUACUCAUGGCAGAAGGCAAAGCCGGAGUGGAUGUGUCACAUGGCGAGAGAAGACGCAACAGAUGGGAGAGGUUUCAGACUCUUUAAUAAGCAGGGCCCUGCAUGUUUUUCUUCGGGAAGGCUGUGCAGUCUGCUCUGAGGAGACAGAUCAACCUAGCCCUUCUCCAGGACGAACUCCGAAAACCACAGGAAUUCACGUUCAAAGGAUGACGCAUCUCAGAAUCAGGGAAGGAUGGCGGGGAGGGAGAGAGGAAGAGAUAGGGAGAAAGACAGGGAGGGAGAGGAAGAGGCAGAGAGAGAAAGGGAGAGAGAGGGAGGUGGGGGAGAGAGACGUUUGAACGAAGUCUACAGAUUAGUUAAUAGUGUGAUCAUUGUUAACUUGCUGACUUUGAGUGCAACAAAGAAUCAGAAUGGCCACAUGAAGUAAUCCUAAGUGACACUAGCCUGAUGUAGAUCCCAUUCAAUGCAGUCCCUGCCUUCCAGAUGGAUGUGAACAAGAUUCCCAGGGUACUCAUGCCUUCAUGUGUUUGCUUCACCUUUUGAUGGGUGGCCUUUAGUGAGCCAGUGGCUCGGAUUUAUGUGGUCAGAUUCUGAGCCGGCAGACACAAGGACAAGCCAGCGAGAGGUGUGGCAGGACUGGAGAUUCUGUGUAGAAGGUUAAAUUUGAACAGAGACAGAUGUGCAUAGAGAGAAGGUUGUGUGAAGAGACACAGGAAGGAGACGGCCAUCUAUUUGGAACAGAGCUUCCCUUAUAGACCUCAGAAGGAACCAACUCUGAUACCUUGGUUUUGGGCUUCCAGACUCCAGAACUGUGAGACAAUAAAUUCGGUCACAUUCAAUGCUUCUGGCAACAUCCUGGGGCAAGCGGACAUGUGAUGCGACUCGAUAACUGCAACGGUGAUGUCAUGUGUGUGUCUACUUUAGAGAGCAGAUGGUCGAUCUGGUGCUAAUUUGCCCAAUACGGUAGCUACGCGGCAAUGAAAUUCCAAAACUGGCACAAGGCGGGCCUGGUUCCAGGGAUCACUGGAUCUAAAAGAAAAAAAUCCAAUGAAUGAUGCAUCCCACUGGCAUUCCAAAGAGCAAGUAAACAAAAGAAAUUAUGGGUUUGGGCUCAGAAACCCCAACCCUUGAGAUUUCAGAAAACAAAACGACUCAUUGGCAAGAGGCACUGUAACGACUCAGGUUCAAAUCCCACCUCUGUUAUUUACCAAUUGCAUAACUUUCAGCUUCAGUGUGACCUGACCCUGAGCUUUCCAAUCCAAAAAUAGAAGUAAUGUCUAUGU
rnacentral:lncRNA from 1 species